AUUGAACGCUGGCGGCAUGCUUUACACAUGCAAGUCGAACGGCAGCACAGGGAGCUUGCUCCUGGGUGGCGAGUGGCGAACGGGUGAGUAAUGUAUCGGAACGUGCCUGGUAGUGGGGGAUAACUACUCGAAAGAGUGGCUAAUACCGCAUGAGAUCUUUGGAUGAAAGCGGGGGACCUUCGGGCCUCGUGCUACUGGAGCGGCCGAUAUCAGAUUAGGUUGUUGGUGGGGUAAAGGCCUACCAAGCCUGCGAUCUGUAGCUGGUCUGAGAGGACGACCAGCCACACUGGAACUGAGACACGGCCCAGACUCCUACGGGAGGCAGCAGUGGGGAAUGUUGGACAAUGGGCGGAAGCCUGAUCCAGCAAUGCCGCGUGCAGGACGAAGGCCUUCGGGUUGUAAAGUGCUUUUGUACAGAACGAAAAGUCUCUGGCUAAUAUCUAGAGUUCAUGACGGUACUGGAAGAAUAAGCACCGGCUAACUACGUG
rnacentral:rRNA from 1 species